rnacentral:rRNA from 1 species
UACGAAGGGGGCUAGCGUUGCUCGGAAUGACUGGGCGUAAAGGGCGCGUAGGCGGUUCGUACAGUCAGACGUGAAAUUCCCGGGCUCAACCUGGGGGCUGCGUUUGAUACGUGCGGGCUUGAGUUCGGAAGAGGGUCGUGGAAUUCCCAGUGUAGAGGUGAAAUUCGUAGAUAUUGGGAAGAACACCGGUGGGCGAAGGCGGCGACCUGGUCCGGAUACUGACGCUGAGGCGCGAAAGCGUGGGGAGCAAACAGG